CCCGGCGUAGCUCAGUCGUAGAGCGGGCGGCUGUAGACCGUCUGGUCGCAGGUUCAAGUCCUGCCGCCGGGACCA
rnacentral:tRNA from 1 species